rnacentral:rRNA from 1 species
AGCAGUCGCCACGGUAAUCCGGAGGGUGCAAGCGUUAAUCGGAAUUACUGGGCGUAAAGCGCACGCAGGCGGUCUGACAAGUCAGAUGUGAAAUCCCCGGGCUUAACCUGGGAACUGCAUUUGAAACUGUCAGGCUGGAGUCUUGUAGAGGGGGGUGGAAUUCCAGGUGUAGCGGUGAAAUGCGUAGAGAUCUGGAGGAAUACCGGUGGCGAAGGCGGCCCCCUGGACAAAGACUGACGCUCAGGUGCGAAAGCGUGGGGAGCAAACAGGAUUAGAUACCCCUGUAGUCCCUGUCUCUUAUAC